UCUAAGAUAAUUUUGUCAUCAGUUACUAGGUGAAGGCGAUUCUAGGAGAUUUUUUGUUAUUUUGUUUUAUUUUGUUUAUUUGAUUUUAGGAGAUAUUUUGUUAUUUUGUUUUACGCCUCUUUCCAAUCAGAUAAAUUAACUUACUAAUGGGCAGAAUCACUUCCAACGACGGUCUACACCCACAUCCAUGGACGGGGGUCAGAUGGUGAAGGAUAGGGAUAGCUGGAAAAGUGCGAGCCUAGGUUAUAUUUCAUCGAUGCAAUAUGGCCCUUUCGCCCAAAGUUUGUCCACCCCUGAUAUAGACCAAGGAUCGCGUAUAGGCAAACUUAAUACAAAAGGCCCUAUAGUAUCAGUGAAAUAUAUCCUAGGACGGCAUUUAUAUAUAUUUUUUUAUUCCUUAAUAAU
rnacentral:lncRNA from 1 species